CUGACUUCCAAGUAGCCACCAUGUUGUCCGCGCUAUUCCAAAGUCCAACUUCAUUCGAGGGGAAGGGGAAGCAAAGAGCGACAGAAGGUCCUCAAAAGUCCCCACUUCCCAAAAGCAACCGAACACCUCUGAGCGUCCGAAACGGAUGGUAACUUUUCUUAAAGCGAAACGCAAUCGUCCAGGUUCCUUUCUAUGAGAACGACUGAAGGAAACUGGAGUCAGCGGGACCGCCAAUUUAGCUACCCUGGAAAACAGCAGGGGAGGCCUCCCGAAGCGCCUGAAGCAAUCCUUCCAACCAGUUUAACUCCGAAGAAGUCUUGGGAGAGGUCGGUUGAAGUGGAGCUUGCUUCGAAUCCACGAAGCUCAGGCCAGUUGCGAAGAGGAGGAAACCCCCCCCGGAACGCGGAAGGAUCCUUAAACCAAGCCCAAUCUUAGGCGCUGCUCCAGAGCCUGGGAGGGGAAUCUUUGCCGCCGAUUUCGGAAGGAGAGCGUUCACUCCGAAGACUUGGCCGAAGACGACUUUCUUCUGUCCCUGUUGGUUGCUUGAACGCUGGCUGCCAGAUUGGCGCUGGGGUUGAUUUAAAAAUCGAUCCCGCUUCUGCGUACAGCGCAGCACCUUCUUCUGAACCAAGAUUGACUUGGAUGUCAAUCCCGAUUUUUGAAGUUUUAGAGGGCAGGGACGGGACAUAUUUCGGUGUCUACUGCUGGGAAAUUAGCCUCAUCUUAUCCAGAAAAAGUUAAAGAACGGUGGUCUGAGCUAAGAAUUCAGAAACGAGUCCAACUGUGGGGUAAAGAAUGCCAAUCCUUGAAAAGCGUUUUCCCCCAAAUUUGUCACUUUCUCCAGUCUAGUCUUUCAGAUGUGAGGACUUCUUUUCUCAUCAUUAUACCUAACACUGCCUCUGGGGAUGAUGGGCACUGUAGUCUGAUGCGUUUUAAGCAUUCCCUUACUUUCUCCAGCCGGCUUCCAUUAAAAAAAAAUAACCUUCACAACUUUUAGGCUUCUUACCCUGAGUCGUAGUUUAUAUCGCCUUCACCCCAACCUUUAGAGGAGGCAGGAACAGUGACAAGCGAUAGCGUCCCGUAAGACACAGCUCCGAAAAAAUAUCUUACCUACUCGGCUAUCCUGGGGAAAGAGUGGUGUCGCGCUUUCGCAGAUAGCAUUCGCUAAAUACCAAAUCGCAACAAAUGCAAGACAAGAGUUCUAAUCUAGAGAGACCAAUAAACGCCCCCCCCGCCCAGCACAAGAGUUCGCCUAUCUGCAGUGCGACAACAACAACAAAAUCAAAUUCCAGAAGGAAUGAGUCAUAUUAAAGAAAGGCGAAAACGAUUCAAUAUCCAACCAACUCUACCUUUAGGAAGAGGCAGGGAAACGCGGGUACGUCUGCAGGAUCUCGCUGCGCGCGCAUGUUUCUAUUUACUCCUUUUUCCUUUAAAGAAAUAAAAUCAGA